rnacentral:rRNA from 1 species
GGUGCCUAACACAUGCAAGUCGAACGGAACUGUUUUGAAAGAUUUCUUCGGAAUGAAUUUGAUUUAGUUUAGCGGCGGACGGGUGAGUAACGCGUGAGUAACCUGCCUUCAAGAGGGGGAUAACAUUCUGAAAAGAAUGCUAAUACCGCAUGACAUAUCGGAACCACAUGGUUCUGAUAUCAAAGAUUUUAUCGCUCGAAGAUGGACUCGCGUCCGAUUAGUUAGUUGGUGAGGUAACGGCUCACCAAGACCGCGAUCGGUAGCCGGACUGAGAGGUUGAACGGCCACAUUGGGACUGAGACACGGCCCAGACUCCUACGGGAGGCAGCAGUGGGGGAUAUUGCGCAAUGGGGGCAACCCUGACGCAGCAACGCCGCGUGAAGGAUGAAGGUUUUCGGAUUGUAAACUUCUUUUAUUAAGGACGAAAAAUGACGGUACUUAAUGAAUAAGCUCCGGCUAACUACGUGCCUGCCGCCGCGGUAACAC